rnacentral:tRNA from 1 species
UGCGGCGGCGGCCAGCCAGGUCGAGAAGGCUGGUACGUCCAGCCCGGCCAGCCGGCGGGCCGCGCCGGACAGUUCGGGGGCCAGCCGCCGCAG